rnacentral:rRNA from 1 species
CAGAUAAUUUUUUUACCCUAAGUAUUUAAAGUUAUGUACUUGAAAUUUGAAGAAUUUGGCGGUGAUUUAGUCUUGUCAGAGGAACCUGUUUUUGAAUCGAUACACCACGAAGAAUCUUACUUAAGCUUGUAAAGGCAGUAUGUAUACCAUCAUUAUUAGGUAAUUUUUAUAGAAUAAAUUACUGAACGAUAAUUAUUAACAAUAUUAAAUAUAUUAGAUCAAGGUGCAGCUAAUGCUUAAGUUAAAAUGGGUUACAAUAAAAAUUUAUUUAAUACGGAAUAUUAAUUCAAAUAAUUAAUUAGAAGGAGGAUUUGAUUGUAAAUUAAAUUUAAUAUGUUUAGUUAGAUAUAAGCUCUAAAUCAUGUACACACCGCCCGUCACAAAUCCAAAAG